GAUGAACGCUGGCGGCGUGCCUAAUACAUGCAAGUCGAGCGAAUAGAUGAGGAGCUUGCUCCUCUGACGUUAGCGGCGGACGGGUGAGUAACACGUGGAUAACCUACCUAUAAGACUGGGAUAACUUCGGGAAACCGGAGCUAAUACCGGAUAAUAUAUUGAACCGCAUGGUUCAAUAGUGAAAGACGGUUUUGCUGUCACUUAUAGAUGGAUCCGCGCCGCAUUAGCUAGUUGGUAAGGUAACGGCUUACCAAGGCGAUGAUGCGUAGCCGACCUGAGAGGGUGAUCGGCCACACUGGAACUGAGACACGGUCCAGACUCCUACGGGAGGCAGCAGUAGGGAAUCUUCCGCAAUGGGCGAAAGCCUGACGGUGCAACGCCGCGUGAGUGAUGAAGGUCUUCGGAUCGUAAAACUCUGUUAUUAGGGAAGAACAAAUGUGUAAGUAACUAUGCACGUCUUGACGGUACCUAAUCAGAAAGCCACGGCUAACUACGUG
rnacentral:rRNA from 1 species